AACGAACGCUGGCGGCAGGCCUAACACAUGCAAGUCGAACGAGAUCUUCGGAGCUAGUGGCGGACGGGUGAGUAACGCGUGGGAACGUACCCUUUGCUUCGGAAUAGCCUCGGGAAACUGGGAGUAAUACCGGAUACGCCCUUCGGGGGAAAGAUUUAUCGGCAAAGGAUCGGCCCGCGUUGGAUUAGGUAGUUGGUGGGGUAACGGCCUACCAAGCCGACGAUCCAUAGCUGGUUUGAGAGGAUGAUCAGCCACACUGGGACUGAGACACGGCCCAGGCUCCUACGGGAGGGAGCAGUGGGGAAUCUUAGACAAUGGGGGCAACCCUGAUCUAGCCAUGCCGCGUGAUCGAUGAAGGCCUUAGGGUUGUAAAGAUCUUUCAGCUGGGAAGAUAAUGACUGUACCAGCAGAAGAAGCCCCGGCUAACUCCGUGCCAGCCGCCGCAGUAAGAC
rnacentral:rRNA from 1 species